rnacentral:rRNA from 1 species
UACGUAGGGGGCGAGCGUUGUCCGGAUUUAUUGGGCGUAAAGCGCACGUAGGCGGAUUGCUAAGUCAGGGGUGAAAUCCUGGAGCUCAACUCCAGAACUGCCUUUGAUACUGGCGAUCUCGAGUCCGGGAGAGGUGAGUGGAACUGCGAGUGUAGAGGUGAAAUUCGUAGAUAUUCGCAAGAACACCAGUGGCGAAGGCGGCUCACUGGCCCGGUACUGACGCUGAGGCGCGAAAGCGUGGGGAGCAAACAGGG